rnacentral:rRNA from 1 species
CGGACGGGCGAGUAAUGUCUGGGAAACUGCCUGAUGGAGGGGGAUAACUACUGGAAACGGUAGCUAAUACCGCAUAAUGUCGCAAGACCAAAGAGGGGGACCUUCGGGCCUCUUGCCAUCGGAUGUGCCCAGAUGGGAUUAGCUUGUUGGUGGGGUAACGGCUCACCAAGGCGACGAUCCCUAGCUGGUCUGAGAGGAUGACCAGCCACACUGGAACUGAGACACGGUCCAGACUCCUACGGGAGGCAGCAUG